rnacentral:rRNA from 1 species
CAGCAGCCACGGUAAUACGAAGGGGGCUAGCGUUGUUCGGAAUUACUGGGCGUAAAGCGCACGUAGGCGGAUAUUUAAGUCAGGGGUGAAAUCCCAGAGCUCAACUCUGGAACUGCCUUUGAUACUGGGUAUCUUGAGUAUGGAAGAGGUGAGUGGAAUUCCGAGUGUAGAGGUGGAAUUCGUAGAUAUUCGGAGGAACACCAGUGGCGAAGGCGGCUCACUGGUCCAUUACUGACGCUGAGGUGCGAAAGCGUGGGGAGCAAACAGGAUUAGAUACCCGGGUAGUCCCUGUCUCUUAUAC